rnacentral:rRNA from 1 species
AGAGUUUGAUCCUGGCUCAAGACGAACGCUGGCGGCGCGCCUAACACAUGCAGGUCGAACGGAGCUUAAAGAGCUUGCUUUUUAAGCUUAGUGGCGAACGGGUGAGUAACGCGUGAGUAACCUGCCCUGGAGUGGGGGACAACAGUUGGAAACGACUGCUAAUACCGCAUAAGCCCACGGAUCCGCAUGGAUCUGCGGGAAAAGGAUUUAUUCGCUUCAAGGUGGACUCGCGUCCAAUUAGCUAGUUGGUGAGGUAACGGCCCACCAAGGCGACGAUUGGUAGCCGGACUGAGAGGUUGAACGGCCACAUUGGGACUGAGACACGGCCCAGACUCCUACGGGAGGCAGCAGUGGGGGAUAUUGCACAAUGGGGGAAACCCUGAUGCAGCGACGCCGCGUGGAGGAAGAAGGUUUUCGGAUUGUAAACUCCUGUCGUUAGGGACGAUAAUGACGGUACCUAACAAGAAAGCACCGGCUAACUACGUGCCAGCAGCCGCGGUAAAACGUAGGGUGCAAGCGUUGUCCGGAAUUACUGGGUGUAAAGGGAGCGCAGGCGGAUCGGCAAGUUGGAAGUGAAAACUAUGGGCUCAACCCAUAAAUUGCUUUCAAAACUGCUGGCCUUGAGUAGUGCAGAGGUAGGUGGAAUUCCCGGUGUAGCGGUGGAAUGCGUAGAUAUCGGGAGGAACACCAGUGGCGAAGGCGACCUACUGGGCACCAACUGACGCUGAGGCUCGAAAGCAUGGGUAGCAAACAGCGAUUAGAUACCCUGGUAGUCCACGCCGUAAACGAUGAGUGCUAGGUGUCGGAGGGGAAUCUUCGGUGCCGCAGCAAACGCAAUAAGCACUCCACCAGGGGAGUACGAUCGCAAGAUUGAAACUCAAAGGAAUUGACGGGGGCCCGCACAAGCGGUGGAGCAUGUGGUUUAAUUCGAAGCAACGCGAAGAACCUUACCAAGGCUUGACAUCCCGACGACCGGUAUAGAGAUAUACCUUUUCUUCGGAACGUCGGAGACAGGUGGUGCAUGGUUGUCGUCAGCUCGUGUCGUGAGAUGUUGGGUUAAGUCCCGCAACGAGCGCAACCCUUAUCUUUAGUAGCCAGCAGUAAGAUGGGCACUCUAAAGAGACUGCCGUGGAUAACACGGAGGAAGGUGGGGAUGACGUCAAAUCAUCAUGCCCCUUAUGUCUUGGGCAACACACGUGCUACAAUGGACGGAACAAAGUGAAGCGAGACUGCGAAGUGGAGCAAGGCACAAAAACCCGUUCUCAGUUCGGAUUGUAGUCUGCAACUCGACUACAUGAAGCUGGAAUCGCUAGUAAUCGCGAAUCAGAAUGUCGCGGUGAAUA